rnacentral:tRNA from 2 species
GCCGACGUAGCUCAGCUGGCCAGAGCACCGCUCUCGUAAAGCGGGGGUCGUGGGUUCGAAUCCCACCGUCGGCU